rnacentral:snRNA from 9 species
AUACUUUCCUGGCGUAGGGGAUACCGUGGUCAUGCAGGCGGUUCCUCCAGGGCGAGGCUGCUCCAUUGCACUGCGGAGUGGUUGACCCUUGCGAUUAUUUUAAUUUUAAAAUAAAUUAAAUUAAGUAAAUAAAUUAAAU